UGGGGAAUAUUGCACAAUGGGCGCAAGCCUGAUGCAGCCAUGCCGCGUGUAUGAAGAAGGCCUUCGGGUUGUAAAGUACUUUCAGCGGGGAGGAAGGGAGUAAAGUUAAUACCUUUGCUCAUUGACGUUACCCGCAGAAGAAGCACCGGCUAACUCCGUGCCAGCAGCCGCGGUAAUACGGAGGGUGCAAGCGUUAAUCGGAAUUACUGGGCGUAAAGCGCACGCAGGCGGUUUGUUAAGUCAGAUGUGAAAUCCUCGGGCUCAACCUGGGAACUGCAUCGGAUACUGGCAAGCUUGAGUCUCGUAGAGGGGGGUAGAAUUCCAGGUGUAGCGGUGAAAUGCGUAGAGAUCUGGAGGAAUACCGGUGGCGAAGGCGGCCCCCAGGACGAAGACUGACGCUAAGGUGCGAAAGCGUGGGGAGCAAACAGG
rnacentral:rRNA from 1 species